rnacentral:tRNA from 1 species
GGGUAUGUAGCUCAGGGAUAGAGCACUUACCUAACAUGCAUGAGGCCCUGGGUUCAAUCCCCAGCACCACCA